rnacentral:rRNA from 1 species
AUUGAACGCUGGCGGCAGGCCUAACACAUGCAAGUCGAGCGAGCGGCGGACGGGUGAGUAAUGUAUGGGGAUCUGCCCGAGAGAGGGGGAUAACUACUGGAAACAGUGGCUAAUAGCGCAUAAUAACGGAUGAGCACAUAUGGGAUUAGCGAGUAGGUGGGGUAAAGGCUCACCAAGGAGACAAUCUCUAGCUGGUCUGAGAGGAUGAUCAGCCACACGUGGAUGGAGACACGUCCCAGACUCCUACGGGAGGCAGCAGUGGGGAAUAUUGCACAAUGGUCGCAAGCCUGAUGCAGCCAUGCCGCGUGUAUGAAGAAGGCCUUAGGGUUGUAAAGUACUUUCAGCGGGGAGGCGUUACCCGCAGAAGAAGCACCGGCUAACUCCGUGCCAGCAGCCGCGGUAAUAC